rnacentral:lncRNA from 1 species
AAAAGGAAGGCCAGACACCUACCUGUAUAGAGGAAGGAAGGAGGGUGGAAAUCAUUUGCUGGGGUGGUUUUUCUCACCGUGGCUGGUAGUGGUGAGAACCUAUCUCAGCGGACAAGCUAAGGGUCCUCCUUUGCAAGGUAUGGGAACAGUGUUCACUUUCUUGGCAACUUUGAGUAAGACAGACUCUGUCCCCUCUGACUCCUUUUUACCUGCACAAAAGAAGCUCAGCUGCUUAGCCUCCUUCAUUAGAAGAGCAAAAGUCUGGAGUUAUUCCUGGAUCUAGCUCCUGAGACCCUGUCAGUGGAAGCAUCUACUCUAUUUGUGGAGGAAGAAGAGAGCCCUAGCACAUGCUGGUUGCUUCCUCUAUGCUCAGCACUGAGCUGGGUGCUUCCACACUGCCUCGUUUGACUCUCGUGUUAGCCUGUGCAGUAGGAGUUCACCUUGGUUCUGCAGAAGGAAACCUGAAGCCCAAGGUGACCCAGUGAGCAGCAAGGCCGGAAUCUCACUUUGGAGAAAAUUUGAGGUUCGGAGGUCUCGCUGCUGGGUUAUAGAAACAGAAAGAGCACCCUGCUUCUCUGAUUCCAAAUCCCACACUUUUGACAAUGCUGUCCUGAGUCAUCUGGUGCCUCUGUGCCUGUUUUCCCAUUUCUCACAAGGGAAUAGUGAGUCAUGUUAAGUAAUUUUUAACAAUAUGGUAUACCUUUUAUAUGGAAAGAUGAUGCUUUGGACUUGUCCUCAGCUUUGGUUUGCCCCUGUAGUUCUGGGCAGAUCGCCCUGGCUAGAGUUAGGAAUGGCCUCGAGUGGAGUUCAUUUGAAGCCAGUUGGUUGAGAUCAGGGUGGGGGCUACAUAGGAAAAGCCAGUACAGAAAAAUAGACCACAGCUUGCUUACAGUACACAUUCCUUCUGGAAUAUGAAACGCAUGAAAAGCAGCUUUUUGGAUGUAUAUUAGUAACUUUCAAGCGUGGUCAUAAGUAUGCCCUGCCCCUUUGAAGAGCAACUGGUAAGCCAGUGACAUUGAGGACAUGUGGGUUUUAUGAGGUGCUGUGAUCAAGCAGCACAGCUCACAGUCAUCCUUAUCCUUUUUUUUUACUUCUGAUCUUUUGAGAAUCUAUUCAAAGCAUUGAGGUUUUUUAUAGCAGAUUUUUCCCUUUUUUUCCUUCUGGAGAAGAUUGGCCCUGAGCUAACAUCUGUUACCAAUCUUCCUCUUUUUUUUUUCCUCCCCAAAGGCCCAGUGCAUAGUUGUAUAUCCUAGGUGUAAGUCGUUCUAGUUCUUCUGUGUGGGAUGCCUCCAUAGCAUAGCUUGACAAGCGGCGUGUAGGUCUGCACCCAGGAUCCAAAGCAGAUCAUGUGAACUUAAUUAACCACUAUGCCACUGGGCCGGCCCCCUCAAAGCACUGAGUGUUUUUUAAUGCACAUAGUGUAAAUAUGC